rnacentral:rRNA from 1 species
GAUGAACGCUGGCGGCGUGCCUAACACAUGCAAGUCGAGCGAUUUACUUCGGUAAAGAGCGGCGGACGGGUGAGUAACGCGUGGGCAACCUGCCCUGUACACACGGAUAACAUACUGAAAGGUAUGCUAAUACGGGAUAACAUAAGAGAGCCGCAUGGCUUUCUUAUCAAAGCUUUUGCGGUACAGGAUGGACCCGCGUCUGAUUAGCUAGUUGGUAAGGUAACGGCUUACCAAGGCGACGAUCAGUAGCCGACCUGAGAGGGUGAUCGGCCACAUUGGAACUGAGACACGGUCCAAACUCCUACGGGAGGCAGCAGUGGGGAAUAUUGCACAAUGGGCGAAAGCCUGAUGCAGCAACGCCGCGUGAGUGAUGAAGGCCUUCGGGUCGUAAAGCUCUGUCCUCAAGGAAGAUAAUGACGGUACUUGAGGAGGAAGCCCCGGCUAACUACGUGCCAGCCGCCGCGGUAA